GGGCGAAUAGCUCAACGGUAGAGCAGAUGUCUUAUACACAUCAUGUUGCAGGUUCGAAUCCUGCUUCGCCCA
rnacentral:tRNA from 1 species